rnacentral:rRNA from 1 species
ACAUGCAAGUCGAGCGGAUGAUGGGAGCUUGCUCCUGGAUUCAGCGGCGGACGGGUGAGUAAUGCCUAGGAAUCUGCCUGGUAGUGGGGGACAACGUUUCGAAAGGAACGCUAAUACCGCAUACGUCCUACGGGAGAAAGCAGGGGACCUUCGGGCCUUGCGCUAUCAGAUGAGCCUAGGUCGGAUUAGCUAGUUGGUGGGGUAAAGGCCUACCAAGGCGACGAUCCGUAACUGGUCUGAGAGGAUGAUCAGUCACACUGGAACUGAGACACGGUCCAGACUCCUACGGGAGGCAGCAGUGGGGAAUAUUGGACAAUGGGCGAAAGCCUGAUCCAGCCAUGCCGCGUGUGUGAAGAAGGUCUUCGGAUUGUAAAGCACUUUAAGUUGGGAGGAAGGGCAGUAAGUUAAUACCUUGCUGUUUUGACGUUACCAACAGAAUAAGCACCGGCUAACUUCGUGCCAGCAGCCGCGGUAAUACGAAGGGUGCAAGCGUUAAUCGGAAUUACUGGGCGUAAAGCGCGCGUAGGUGGUUUGGUAAGAUGGAUGUGAAAUCCCCGGGCUCAACCUGGGAACUGCAUCCAUAACUGCCUGACUAGAGUACGGUAGAGGGUGGUGGAAUUUCCUGUGUAGCGGUGAAAUGCGUAGAUAUAGGAAGGAACACCAGUGGCGAAGGCGACCACCUGGACUGAUACUGACACUGAGGUGCGAAAGCGUGGGGAGCAAACAGGAUUAGAUACCCUGGUAGUCCACGCCGUAAACGAUGUCGACUAGCCGUUGGGAUCCUUGAGAUCUUAGUGGCGCAGCUAACGCGAUAAGUCGACCGCCUGGGGAGUACGGCCGCAAGGUUAAAACUCAAAUGAAUUGACGGGGGCCCGCACAAGCGGUGGAGCAUGUGGUUUAAUUUCGAAGCAACGCGAAGAACCUUACCUGGCCCUUGACAUGUCCCGGAAUCUUUGCAGAGAUGCGAGA